AUUGAACGCUGGCGGCAGGCCUAACACAUGCAAGUCGAACGAGUGGCGGACGGGUGAGUAAUGUCUGGGAAACUGCCUGAUGGAGGGGGAUAACUACUGGAAACGGUAGCUAAUACCGCAUACCAUCAGAUGUGCCCAGAUGGGAUUAGCUAGUUGGUGGGGUAACGGCUCACCAAGGCGACGAUCCCUAGCUGGUGUGAGCGGAUGACCAGCACCACUGGGACUGAGACACGGUCCAGACUCCUACGGGGGGAAGCGGUGGGGAAUAUUGGACAAUGGGCGCAAGCCUGAGGCGGCCAGGCCGCGUGUAUGAGGAGGGCCUUCGGGUUGUAAAGUACUUUCAGCGGGGAGGCGUUACCCGCAGAGGAAGCGCCGGCUAACUCCGUGCCAGCAGCCGCGGUAAUUC
rnacentral:rRNA from 1 species